AAACCAUUUCUCCCCCCUAGUAUAGGCGAUAGAAAAGGAACCACGGCGCAAUAGAAAAAGUACCGCAAGGGAAAGCUGAAAGAGAGAUGAAACAGCCCAGUAAAGUCUAAAAAAGCAGAGAUUACCUCUUGUACCUUUUGCAUCAUGAUUUAGCCAGAAACCCCAAGCAAAGAGCACUUUAGUUUGACUCCCCGAAACUAGCGUGAGCUACUCCAAGACAGCCUAUCUAUAGGGCAAACCCGUCUCUGUGGCAAAAGAGUGGGAAGAGCUUUGAGUAGAGGUGACAGACCUACCGAACCUAGCAAUAGCUGGUUGCCUGAAAACUGGAUAUAAGUUCAGCCUCCCGGCUUCUCCAUUCACCCCACCCCAACAGAUACUAAAGAACACCGCGAGAGUUAGUCAAAGGGGGUACAGCCCCUUUGAACCAAGACACAACUUUACCAGGUGGGUAAAGAUCAAAAUAUACCAAGGAAAUAUGUUCUGGUGGGCCUAAGAGCAGCCAUCCAAAUAGAAAGCGUUCAAGCUCAGACAUCCUCUUCCCCAAAAAUCCCGAUAACCCAAUCUUAUCCCCCUAAACUUAUCAGGCCGCCCCAUGCAACCAUGGGGGUGUCCAUGCUAAUAUGAGUAAUAAGAGAGUCACACCCUCUCUCCCCGCAUAAGUGUAAAUCGAAACGGACCCCCCAUCGAUAUUUAAACGGCCCCACACCAAGAGGGCAUUAGGAGGCAAACCAAGUGAACAAGAAAAUCGCCUAAUAAUAUAACCGUUAACCCCACACUGGUAUGCACCUCGGGAAAGACAAAAGGAAAAAGAAGGAACUCGGCAAAUACACAACAAGCCUCGCCUGUUUACCAAAAACAUCGCCUCUUGCUAACCAAAAAUAAGAGGUCCAACCUGCCCAGUGACCAUGUGUUUAACGGCCGCAGUAUUUUGACUGUGCGAAGGUAGCGUAAUCACUUGUCUUUUAAAUGGAGACCUGUAUGAACGGUAAAACGAGGGCUUAACUGUCUCCUUUUUCUAGUCAAUGAAAUUGAUCCCCCCGUGCAGAAGCGGGGAUACAAACAUAAGACGAGAAGACCCUGUGGAGCUUUAGACGCCAGAGCAGACCAUGUUAAACACCCCAAACUAAAGGAAUAAACUGAUUGGAUGCUGCUCCCAUGUCUUCGGUUGGGGCGACCGUGAGGAAAUUAAAAAACCCUCCACGUGGAAUGGGAGCAACAAUCCCUCGAAGAUCUUUCUCUUCUUUGUCUCCCACAACUAAGAGCCACAGUUCUAAGCAACAGAAUAUCUGACCAAUAGAGAUCCGGCAAAGCCGAUUAACGAACCAAGUUACCCCAGGGAUAACAGCGCAAU
rnacentral:rRNA from 1 species